ACUCCUACGGGAGGCAGCAGUGAGGAAUUUUCCGCAAUGGGUGUAAGCCUGACGGAGCAAUGCCGCGUGAAGGAAGACGGCUCUAGGGUUGUAAACUUCUUUUCUCAUUGAAGAAAAAUUGACGGUAUUUGAGGAAUAAGCAUCGGCUAAUUUCGUGCCAGCAGCCGCGGUAAU
rnacentral:rRNA from 1 species